rnacentral:rRNA from 1 species
UAUGUGAUCGUCUCUCGCAUAUCAAUAAGCGGAGGAAAAGAAACUAACAAGGGUUCCCCUAGUAACGGCGAGUGAAGCGGGAAGAGCUCAAAUUUGAAAUCUUAAAGGGUUUCCCUUUACGAAUUGUAGUUUAAAGAAGUGUUUUCUGUUGAGGUUUUGGUAAAAGUUCUUUGGAAUAGGACAUCAUAGAGGGUGAGAAUCCCGUAUUUGACCUUUACUUUCAACUUUGUGAUACACUUUCAAAGAGUCGGAUUGUUUGGGAAUGCAGUCCAAAAUGGGUGGUAAAUUUCAUCUAAAGCUAAAUAUUGGCGAGAGACCGAUAGCGAACAAGUACCGUGAGGGAAAGAUGAAAAGAACUUUGAAAAGAGAGUUAAACAGUACGUGAAAUUGUCAAAAGGGAAGCGUUUGACACCAGUGUUGUUUUUCUGAAAAUCAAUUAAAGAACUGUUUAUGCUAAGUUGUUUAGACUUUAUCAGCUAACUGUUUAGUUUUGAGCUUUUCUUUAAUGCACUUUUCAGUUAACAAGUCAACAUCAAUUUCUUUUGCUGUAAAAAAGCUUGAGGAAGGUGGCUUGAGAUUCGUCUUAAGUGUUUAUAGCCUCUUGCCUAUGCAGUCGGAGAGAUUGAGGUCUGCAGCGUAGAUCCUUCGGGGCUAAAUGCAUUUGUGCUAAGUUAUAGCAUUUUAUAGACAACUUGUUGACUAUGAUUUGUCUUGUAGCUUACUCGCUUAUGUUAUUUUACCUACGCUUAGGAUGUUGAGUAGCGACAUACGCAC